CAAUGAGUGAUUUCAGUAAGUGCUUUAGUCACCCUGAAAUAACUCGGGUAUAUGCCAGCAGGGUAAAGUCUUUGACUGUCAGGGAAAGUCCAAAAUAGAUCAUUGCACAGAGAGAAAAUGGCAAUAUUGUAGUAACAGUCAUGCCAAUAAAGUUCAUUGAAAAUGAAAUUGAGAAACUUCUUGUGUUGUAUUUGCUCUUGAAUGUAUGUUGCUUUGGACGGAUAAGUGCAGCUGCUGUUCAUUACUCUGUAGGCUGAAGAAAGUAAAUAAAUCUUCAUUUAUAAAGCACCAAUUCACAGCAAAUGUUACCUCUGGAAGCUUAACAAAAUGUGCUGGUUUACACCAUACUCUUCAUGAUAUUUACACACGUGGACAAAAUUGUUGGUACCCCUCAGUUAAAGAAGGAAAAACCCACAAUUCUCACUGAAAUCACUUGAAACCUACAAAAGUAACAAUAAAUAAAAAUUUAUUGAAAAUUAAAUAAUCAAAAUCAGCCAUUACGUUUGAAAUGUUGAUUAACAUAAUUAUUAAAAAAAAACAAACUAAUGAAAUAGGGCUGGACAAAAAUGAUGGUACCUCUAUAAAAGAUUGAAAACUAUUUGACCAGAGUGACAUGAUUAACUCAGGUGUGUCCUUUAAUUGACAUCACAGGUGUUUCCAAACUCAUAAUCAGUCAGUCUGCCUAUUUAAAGGGAGACAAGUAGUCACUCUGCUGUUUGGUGAAAAGGUGUGUACCACACUGAACAUGGACAACAGAAAGCGAAGGAGAGAAUUGUCCCAGGACAUCUGAAAAAAAAUUAUAGACAAACAUCUUAAAGGUGCAGGCUAUAAGACCAUCUCUAAACAGCUUGAAGUUCCUGUGACAACAGUGGCUCAUAUUAUUCAGAAGUUCAAGACCCACGGGACAGUAGCCAACCUCCCUGGACGUGGCCGCAAGAGGAAAAUUGAUGACAGAUUGAAGAGACAGAUUGUUCGAAUUGUAUCCAAAGAGCCCAGGACAAUCUCCAAAGAAAUUAAAGGUGAACUCCAAGGCCAAGGUACAUCAGUGUCAGAUCGCACCAUUCGUCGUUGUUUGAGCCAAAGUGGACUUCAUGGGAGACGACCAAGGAGGACACCACUGCUGAAAAAAAAUCAUAAAAAAGCGAGACUGGAAUUUGCAAAAAUGCAUGUUGACAAGCCACAAAGCUUCUGGGAGAAUGUCCUUUGGACAGAUGAGACCAAACUGGAGCUUUUUGGUAAGGCACAUCAACUCUAUGUUCAUAGACUCAAAAACCAAGCAUACGAAGAAAAGAACACUGUCCCUACGGUGAAACAUGGAGGAGGCUCAGCAAUAUUUUGGGGCUGCUUUGCUGCAUCUGGCACAGGGUGUCUUGAAUGUGUGCAAGGUAAAAUGAAAUCUGACGACUAUCAAGGCAUUCUGGAGAGAAAUGUGCUGCCUAGUGUCAGAAAGCUUGGUCUCAGUCGCAGGUCAUGGGUCUUCCAACAGGACAACGAUCCAAAACACACAGCCAAAAACACCCAAGAAUGGCUGAGAGAAAAGCGUUGGACUAUUCUAAAGUGGCCUUCCAUGAGCCCAGAUCUGAAUCCCAUUGAACAUCUGUGGAAGGAGCUGAAACAUGCCAUUUGGAGAAGACACCCAUCAAACCUGAGACAACUGGAGCAGUUUGCUCAUGAGGAGUGGGCCAAAAUACCUGUUGACAGCUGCAGAACGCUCAUUGACAAAUACAGAAAUCGUUUAAUUGCAGUGAUUGCCUCAAAAGGUUGUGCAACAAAAUAUUAAGUUAUGGGUACCAUCAUUUUUGUCCAGCCCUAUUUCAUUAGUUUGUUUUUUUUAAAUAAUUAUGUUAAUCAACAAUUCAAAAGUAAUGGCUGAUUUUGAUUAUUUAAUUUUCAAUAAAUUUUUAUUUAUUGUUACUUUUGUAGGUUUCAAGUGAUUUCAGUGAGAAUUGUGGGUUUUUCCUUCUUUAACUGAGGGGUACCAACAAUUUUGUCCACGUGUGUACAAAGACCCAACAUAAAGAUGAGAUAAGACUGAGCCCCAUGUUGUAAGAUCCACUCUGAUCUGUCACCAGCCAUAUGGGUGAAACACUUAACAGCAUCAAUCAAGUCACAGUGGAAAGGAAGAACUUCUUUUAACAGGCAGAAACCUCAAGCAGUACCAGACUGAUGUUUAACAGUCAUCUGCUGAGACUAAGCUUGGUUUAGAGAGGAGAGAGAGGGAGAUUUUAAUUAGAAUGGACUGAUCAAAGUUUCAUUCAUGGCAAAUUAAAGUUCAAAGGUAUGCAGUAUUAGCAUAGCAAUCACAGCAUUAGUAAUAAAAGGUUGAGUUAAAUAAUGGUGGUUGGAAUUUAAGCAACUGGAGCAGGAAGAUUCAAAAAGUUUGACAGUUCAACUUGAGCUUUGUAGCAGAGAUAAAAACGGUGGGGCUGAUGCUUGAGGAGAUAUGAUAUAUAAGAAGAUAUAUUGAAUUUUCCUUAGGGGAUUGAUAAAAGUUAUUAUGAUAUGAUAAGAUAAGUACUUUACUGAUCCCUCA